rnacentral:rRNA from 1 species
AACGAACGCUGGCGGCAGGCCUAACACAUGCAAGUCGAGCGAACCUUCGGGUUAGCGGCGGACGGGUGAGUAACGCGUGGGAAUAUGCCUCUUGGUACGGAAUAGCCUCGGGAAACUGGGAGUAAUACCGUAUGUGCCCUUUGGGGGAAAGAUUUAUCGCCAAGAGAUUAGCCCGCGUUGGAUUAGGUAGUUGGUGGGGUAAUGGCCUACCAAGCCGACGAUCCAUAGCUGGUUUGAGAGGAUGAUCAGCCACACUGGGACUGAGACACGGCCCAGACUCCUACGGGAGGCAGCAGUGGGGAAUCUUAGACAAUGGGGGCAACCCUGAUCUAGCCAUGCCGCGUGAGUGAUGAAGGCCUUAGGGUUGUAAAGCUCUUUCAGCUGGGAAGAUAAUGACGGUACCAGCAGAAGAAGCCCCGGCUAACUCCGUGCCAGCAGCCGCCGUAAUAC